UACGGAGGAUCCGAGCGUUAUCCGGAUUUAUUGGGUUUAAAGGGUGCGUAGGUGGUUUUUUAAGUCAGCGGUGAAAGUUUGUGGCUCAACCAUAAAAUUGCCGUUGAAACUGGAAGACUUGAGUAUGUUUGAGGUAGGCGGAAUGCGUGGUGUAGCGGUGAAAUGCAUAGAUAUCACGCAGAACUCCAAUUGCGAAGGCAGCUUACUAAACCAUAACUGACACUGAAGCACGAAAGCGUGGGGAUCAAACAGG
rnacentral:rRNA from 1 species